AAGAAGGGAAACCAUGAAUGUCUGAUGAGUGAGACCCUUUGUACAUAUUUUGCUUGGAGCUCCUCCCACCUCCUCACCAAAGAGAGAGAAUAUAUUUUUUUACAUAAACUCUAUUCCCAACAUGAAGCUUAAAUUCACGAUGCCAAGAUCAGGAGUCACAUGCUCUGCUGACCCAGCUAUCCAGAACCCAUGGAUGAAUACCAUCUGGUCCUGGUGAUUUACUACACAGAGUCCCUCAGGUUACUCCAUAUCUUCUC
rnacentral:lncRNA from 1 species